ACAUCGCCAAAAAGACAGGGAAAAUCAGAAAUCAAUUUAACAAUGUCAGAACUCUGUUCUGUAGUUAAAUGAGUAAGGAAUGACGGGAGAUCUUUUAUUAUUUCAGAGUUUGGUAACCGCGCACAUUGCUGAGGAGUGUUGCGAAGCAUCACUCCAUCCUCGUCAUCACCCGCACAACCACGAGAGGAACCCAGAUCAACGGCGGUAACUACGGAAGAGAUAGUGGGCUCUUUCAUCUGAUCCACAGCAUCUGCGAGGGGUUUCUCACGGUCAUGCUAUUGUAUAAGGACCACAGAACCGGGCAGACAGUGAUGAACCUGUGACAGGCAGAAGUACUAGCACUUUGUCACCAGGUAAAAAUGAACGGGCAACUGUUUUGAAAUCAUACUGGCGUUUCAUAUUCUCCUGAACAGAGGCCAAUGACUCUUUAGCAAGAAGGCAUGCAUCAUGCAACCGACUACGAAACUUGCUAACGUAAUCCAAUAUAUUAACUUUUGAACUCGAUUCAGUAGACAUGAUUUGUUCUUUUAAAAGUUUCAAAGGACCUCUGACAGUGUGCCCAAAAACGAGCUCCGCCGGACUAAAUCCGAGGGACUCCUGAACAGCUUCACGCACGGCAAACAGAACUAAAGGGACACCCUCAUCCCAAUCACGAGCCGUUUCCACGCAAUAUUUGCGCAACAUAGACUUAAGGGUUUGAUGGAAGCGUUCGAGUGCGCCCUGACUUUGGGGAUGAUACGCACUCGAAACUCGGUGAGUUAUAGCAAGAGACUCUAAUACCUGAUUGAAAAGUUUUGACAAAAAAUUAGUGCCUUGGUCUGUCUGGAUAAUUUUAGGAAAACCAAAUGUUGAAAAGAAUUUUGUCAAUGCUUUGAUAAUGACCUGAGCAGUAAUUUUUCGUAAUGGAAAGGCUUCAGGAAAUCGGGUAGCCACACACAUGACAGUCAACAAAAAUUGAUUACCUGAUUUAGUCUUAGGCAACGGUCCAACACAAUCUACUAUUACAUGCUCAAACGGCUCUCCCACCACUGGAAUUGGGGAGAGCGGAGCAGGCGGAACAACCUGGUUCGGCUUUCCAACAAAUUGGCAGGUAUGACACGUACGACAGUAAUUCGCAACGUCUUUCUUUAAUCCUGGCCAGAAAAAAUGUCUUAAUAUCCUAUUGUAGGUCUUAGUUACACCAAGAUGACCAGCCAACUGAUGAUCAUGGGCUAAAAAUAAGACAUGCUGUCGAUAAGGUAAAGGAAUAACAAUUUGGUACACAACAUUCCAGUCUAAAUCCUGCUGUGGGGUGGAACACCAUUUACGCAUUAACAAUUCAUUGUCAAUGAAGUAAGCAGUUUUCUUAUCCCUAGCGAAUUCACACGAGACAGCAGAGUUGAAACACGGCGCGAGCGUCUUGUCUUCUUUUUGAGCGGCCACUAUUUGCGCUCGCGAAACUGACAACUUCAGCUUGUCUGAAUCUGCGAUACCAAAACCUGGCGUCCCCGUUUUCAAAGUGUGACUCUUUUUAGGAGAGUCAACAACUUCUAACGGAGCGUCAUCAACCAAAAGAGGAGCUAAGAAAGAAUUUGACAAUUCAACCGCUUCUCCGUUUUUCCGUGACUGAGCGCGAGUGACGGCGCACGCAGGAAAAACAUCAGAGUAAUCACCAGAAUGAUCUUCAGCCUGACAAAUCACAUCUGGGUUGUCGACCACUUCUAAUAUUGGCAUAACUUUUCCUCCAGCGAGGUCAUUGCCAAGGAUAAAGUCAACACCUUUAAUGGGCAGAGAAGGUCGCACAGCCACUUUCACAAAACCGGUACACAAAUCACUAUUCAAAUAUACACGAUGUAACGGUGCCUUUACAAAACCCAUUUCAAUACCCUGUACAAUUACACUUGACCCACAAAAAGUUUCCUCAUUCAAAGGCAACGCAUCCGCUACAAUAAAAGACUGUAGUGCACCCGUAUCUCUAAGCAUUUUUAUUUCUUUUUGUUCCCCAGGUUUUCCAGUUAAGGAAAUUAACCCCUUCAGAACAAAAGUAGAAACACUCUCUAACCUCUUUUGGCUGAGGGGAGCUAGUCUUGGGACGAGCUGACUGAGAAUGAGUCGGCACCGGAGGAAUUUUCUCGCUACGGGCAGAGGAGAAAACCCCUUUGUGCGUAAGCACAAAUUCAUCCGACAGAACAGCGGCGUGAGACAAUGAAGUUACUUUUUGUUCAUUAAGGUAAACCACAACACGCUCGGGAAGACACCCUUUAAAUUCUUCCAGCAACACAAGUUCUCUUAACGAGUCAAAGUCAUCCACUUUACUAGCUGCACACCAUUUGUCAAAUAAAUUUCCUUUCUCCCUGGCAAACUCAACAAAAGUUUGGGUAGAAUUCUUUUUAUGGUUUCUAAACCUUUGUCUGUAAGCUUCAGGAACAAGCUCGUAUGCUCUAAGAACAGCAGCCUUUACCGAGUCAUACACCAAACUAUCCUCUAACGAUAAUGCAGAACAAACCUCCUGAGCUUUUCCAACAAAUUUACAUUGUAAUAACAGAGGCCAAACUUCUUUGGGCCAACAAAGGGAGGAGGCAAUACGCUCAAAAGCGCUAAAAUAAGUAUCCACCUCCGACUCUCUGAAUUGUGGUACUAAUGCAAUUUGUUUACUUACAUCAAAAGCAACUGAGGACGGGUUAACCGGUGGAGGAACAUUUGAGACCUGUGCGGGCGUUGGAUGCGCAGCCGAGCCGGCGGCGACCUUCAUCGCUUCCAGCUCGAGCUGCCGCAGCUUCACCUGCUUUUCGGCCUCGAUCUCGAGCCUGCGCACUUCCAGACGCAUUUCCAACUCAGCCUGGCGUGCCUGAGCUUUUUCUUGUGCCUCUAUUUGUAGGCGGGCCAAACGGACUUUUAAUCGGGCAUCUAUCCUCGAGUCCGUGGACACCGGUGAAAAUGGAUCGAAGGGUGACAAGCCAGGUUUCGCAUCGGCCUCCGCCGUCGCGCCACCCACAGCUCCAACCCGUUCGUCCACCUCAUCGUCAGUGUUAGAAUGGCCAACAGAAUCACCACCAACAUCAACCUUCCCACCGGUCUUACCACCCUCAGCACUUAUCACAGGAAGAACAUCAAGUUCAACCAAACCUUGUAGAAUUUUUCGUUUGAUUUCCUUUUUAAGCAUUUGUUUGCCCAAAGAAAUAUUGUAAUGCUCUGCUAUAGACUCCAACUCCUUUUUUCUACAUAAAUCAACUUGUUCUGCUGUAGGAUUACCAAUAAAGGCUUGCAAAUUAAACAAUGCCAUGACUGUUACACACCACACCCACACAAACACGCAGCGCGGCAUAACAAACAGGCCGCCAACCGCAGGCCAAAAGCAGACCGCUAACACAAAGUCGUCCGCCACCAAGCACGCACACCCAGGAAAAAGGAAAAUUUUCAAAAAUUUAUAUGGAUUAUCAAUUUUUAAUUAUCCCGGACGAGCCCCCAAUAAAUGUUACGACCCAAGGCUGUCUAGGGUGAGGGUUGUAACAUUUUAUUUGAAAAGCUUUUCCUUUUUGGGUGUGUGUGUGUUUGGAUGGCAGGAGACAGACACGGGAAUAAACUGAAAAUUAUUUAUUAAAUGUGAACCAGUGAACAAAGUGACAAAAGCGUGAAUAAUAAUAAUUAUAAUAAUGAUAAUAAUAAUAAUAAGAAAACAAAAAUGAGAAUAGCAAAAUAAUAUUUACAAUAUUUACAGGGGUGGAACACAAAACACAGAACCAAAGGAAAGGGGACGAGAGUGGUGCUAAAUCAACGAAAGAAACAAAACAAAACGAAGCUAACUAUUUUUAAAGACCUCUAAACUAAUCUAAAGAAAAUAAAAAUAAAACAAAAGGUCUUCAGCGUAUACACGCCCUAACUAAACUACACUAGCUAGCUAAAAGUCGGGGAAAAACAUACAAGGGUGGCACUCACUCCUAAACUAGUGUGUCUAAUACAGAAUUAAUAAUUCCCUACGUGUGCACAAUGUAUGUCGCGCGACAAUCUUACCUGUCCGCCUUUCCCCGGCACGGGGAAAACGAAACGCCAGAACAUUCAGGACAAAACAACGGGAUAAAUGAGAUAACGAACAAACGAGAAUGAACUGACAUACACAG